rnacentral:rRNA from 1 species
CCAAUAGCGUAUAUUAAAGUUGUUGCAGUUAAAAAGCUCGUAGUUGAAUUUCGGGAUUUGUCAGUUGGUCGGGCUUCACUGUCCGUACUGAUUUGAUGGAUUCUUACCUUCUGAAUAACCAGCAUGCUAUUAAGUUAGUGCGUUGGGGAAGCAGAUCUAUUACCUUGAAAAAAUUAGAGUGCUUAAAGCGGGCUAGUGCUUGAAUAGAUUAGCAUGGAAUAAUAAAAUAGGACGGCAUGGUUCUAUUUUGUUGGUUUCUAGGAUCACCGUAAUGAUUAAUAUGGAUAGUUGGGGGCAUUAGUAUUCAAUUGUCAGAGGUUAAAUUCUUGGAUUUAUUGAAGACUAACUUCUGCGAAAGCAUUUGCCAAGGAUGUUUUCAUUAAUCAAGAACGAAAGUUAGGGGAUCGAAGACGAUCAGAUACCGUCGUAGUCUUAACCAUAAACUAUGCCGACUAGGAAUCGGACGAUGUUAAUUUUAUAAUGACUCGUUCGGCACCUUACG